rnacentral:tmRNA from 1 species
GGGGAUGACAGGCAUAGACAAGUAAGUCCUUUGACAAUGUGCAUGACAAAGCUGAAGUAACUUUUAAAACUGCUUCAAAGCAUAGAUGCUAAAAACACCUUUGCAAAAGCAAUCCCUUCUCCAUUUAUGGGGAAUGGAUUCGCUCUCGCUUUUGCUUAAUUCUUUUAAGAACUAACCAUUGCGGCGGCUAUUCCUCGAAGUCUGUUACAGGAGAUAGUUGAUAUAUCAUCGGACUUGAGAACGUUUUAGUUUCGAGACGGCUCUGACAUAAAGAAAACUGGAAUACAAUUUAUUUUGUUGGUUUAAAGAAUUGUAUUUGAGAAAAUUAAACUAACUACGUCAUGUAGAAACAUUGCCAAAACUUAUUUGCACGGGGGUUCGAUUCCUCCCUUCUCCACAA